GAUGAAGAACGCAGCGAAAUGCGAUAAGUAAUGCGAAUUGCAGAAUUCAGUGAGUCAUCGAAUCUUUGAACGCACAUUGCGCCCUGUGGUAUUCCGCAGGGCAUGCCUGUUCGAGCGUCAUUUCAACCCUCAAGCUCUGCUUGGUGUUGGGCCACGCCCUCGCGGCCGGCCCCAAAGCCAGUGGCGGCGCCGUCCGGCUCUAAGCGUAGUACAUCUCUCGCUCUAGGGCCCGGCGGCUGCCUGCCAGAACCCCAAACUCUUAUGGUUGACCUCGGAUCAGGUAGGGAUACCUGCUGAACUUAAGCAUAUCAAUAAGCGGAGGA
rnacentral:misc_RNA from 1 species